rnacentral:rRNA from 1 species
GACGAACGCUGGCGGCGUGCUUAACACAUGCAAGUCGAACGGAAAGGUCCUGCUUUUGUUGGGCGCUCGAGUGGCGCACGGGUGAGUAACACGUGAGUAACCUGCCCUUGACUUUGGGAUAACUCCAGGAAACUGGGGCUCAUACCGGGUAGGAGCUCCUGCUGCAUGGGGGGGGUUGGUGAGUUUCGGCGGUUGGGGAUGGUCUCGAGGCUUAUCGGCUUGAUGGUGUGGUAGGGGCUUACCAAGGCUGCGACGGGUAGCCGGCCUGAGAGGGUGAACGGCCACAUUGGGACUGAGAGACGGCCCAGACGCCAACGGGAGGCAGCAGUGGGGAAUAUUGCAGAAUGGGCGGAAGCCUGAUGCAGCAGCGCUGCGUGCGUGAUGACGGCCUUCGGGUUGUAAACCGAUUUCGACGGUGACGAAGCGUGAGUGACGGUAAUGGGUAAAGAAGCACCGGCUAACUACGUG